UGGGGAAUUUUGGACAAUGGGGGAAACCCUGAUCCAGCCAUCCCGCGUGUGCGAUGAAGGCCUUCGGGUUAUAAAGCACUUUUGGCAGGAAAGAAACGUCGCGGGUUAAUACCCCGCGAAACUGACGGUACCUGCAGAAUAAGCACCGGCUAACUACGUGCCAGCAGCCGCGGUAAUACGUAGGGUGCAAGCGUUAAUCGGAAUUACUGGGCGUAAAGCGUGCGCAGGCGGUUCGGAAAGAAAGAUGUGAAAUCCCAGAGCUUAACUUUGGAACUGCAUUUUUAACUACCGGGCUAGAGUGUGUCAGAGGGAGGUGGAAUUCCGCGUGUAGCAGUGAAAUGCGUAGAUAUGCGGAGGAACACCGAUGGCGAAGGCAGCCUCCUGGGAUAACACCGACGCUCAUGCACGAAAGCGUGGGGAGCAAACAGGAUUAGAUACCCUGGUAGUCCACGCCCUAAACGAUGUCAACUAGCUGUUGGGGCCUUCGGGCCUUGGUAGCGCAGCUAACGCGUGAAGUUGACCGCCUGGGGAGUACGGUCGCAAGAUUAAAACUCAAAUGAAUUGACGGGGUCAUAGCUGUUUCCU
rnacentral:rRNA from 1 species